rnacentral:rRNA from 1 species
UACAUGGGGUGCAAACGUUGCUCGGAAUUAUUGGGCGUAAAGCGCACGUAGGCGGUUCGUUAAGUCGGAUGUGAAAGCCCUCGGCUCAACUGAGGAAGUGCACCCGAAACUGGCGAGCUUGAGUACGAAAGAGGAUCGCGGAAUUCCCGGUGUAGAGGUGAAAUUCGUAGAUAUCAGGAGGAACACCGGUGGCGAAGGCGGGUCUCUGGGCCGAUACUGACGCUGGAGGAGCGAAAGCGUGGGGAGCGAACAGG